AUUUCUAAUUAUAUUUAUAUAGUUUAAUUAAAACAUUACAACUUUUCAUUGUAAAAUUAUUAUUAUUUUAUAA
rnacentral:tRNA from 1 species